GAUGAACGCUGGCGGCGUGCCUAAUACAUGCAAGUCGAGCGAAUGGAUUGAGAGCUUGCUCUUAUGAAGUUAGCGGCGGACGGGUGAGUAACACGUGGGUAACCUGCCCAUAAGACUGGGAUAACUCCGGGAAACCGGGGCUAAUACCGGAUAACAUUUUGAACCGCAUGGUUCGAAAUUGAAAGGCGGCUCCGGCUGUCACUUAUGGAUGGACCCGCGUCGCAUUAGCUAGUUGGUGAGGUAACGGCUCACCAAGGCAACGAUGCGUAGCCGACCUGAGAGGGUGAUCGGCCACACUGGACUGAGACACGGCCCAGACUCCUACGGGAGGCAGCAGUAGGGAAUCUUCCGCAAUGGACGAAAGUCUGACGGAGCAACGCCGCGUGAGUGAUGAAGGCUUUCGGGUCGUAAAACUCUGUUGUUAGGGAAGAACAAGUGCUAGUUGAAUAAGCUGGCACCUUGACGGUACCUAACCAGAAAGCCACGGCUAACUACGUGCCAGCCGCCGCAGUAA
rnacentral:rRNA from 1 species